CUUUUUGAGACAUUAUAUAGUGGAUUCCUCCUAGGUAACCAAGUGUAAUUUUACGGAGAUUGAGUUUAAUAUUCUCGUCGACGAAGCAAACGUGUGAAACGGGAGAUAAAUAUCGAUGUGCGUGCCAUCUCUAAUUACAGGAGAUAGAAAUAUCGAUGUGCAUCUUAGAACGACGAUCAAUGUUGGAUCUGUUGUCUUAAAACAAUUAAUUAAUUAACGUCGUGGAUCAUGUUGGGCAAAUUGGUUAGUUUUGCAGUUGGAUUUUAUGUGGGGGCCUAUGCUGACCAAUAUUAUUCUGUAAGUAUUCUGAUUUCUUUCUUUUUGCAUAUGGUUAUUUAGUAAAAUUUACCAAAACUUCCUGGGCCAAUGGGUUUAUAUGAAAGAAUCAAAGUAGAAUUAGACAAAUACAAGAAAGAUAAGCCUGGACCUGGUAAAAGUUAAUAGAUGUCAGCUUAUUUCAGCACAUUUUACAGAAACUGAUUAACAUGAAAAACUUACAGAAAAAAAUUGUGAUAUUAAUGAUAUCACAGGAGUUGGUUAAGUUUCUUUUUCCUUUUAAUAAAUUUGAUUUUGUGAUGUUUUCAUAACUGUGAUAUAUAAAAAUAGGAGUAAAUAAAAGGAUUGUUUAAUGAAA